UACAGAGGUCUCAAGCGUUGUUCGGAUUCACUGGGCGUAAAGGGUGCGUAGGUGGUGAGGUAAGUCGGAUGUGAAAUCUCCGAGCUCAACUCGGAAAUGGCAUUGGAAACUACCUUGCUAGAGGGUUGGAGGGGGGACUGGAAUACUUGGUGUAGCAGUGAAAUGCGUAGAUAUCAAGUGGAACACCAGUGGCGAAGGCGAGUCCCUGGACAACUCCUGACACUGAGGCACGAAAGCUAGGGGAGCAAACAGG
rnacentral:rRNA from 1 species